rnacentral:lncRNA from 1 species
AUAUUGAUCAAGCAACCCUACACUAAUACAAAUGCUGAUUCUGAGCAACGAUUGAGAUAGAAUUGUUGCACAUCAGAAGCCAUAGAGAAAGUACGGGAUAACGAAAUUGCUCCAGUUUCCACCAUGAAAGAAUAUCCAACUCUUUUUCUAUCGAGUCUCUUUUCUCAAAUAUAAAUAAUUCAUUUUUUUCCUAAGUUUGGACCAUCUUGAGGAUUAAAAAACCAUGACAAAUGAGUUCUAAGGUAUAUACUGAGGGAAAGAGAAAGUUGGUUCUUUGUAGGGGUUUAAUCCAGUAUCCUAAAUGGCAUCAUUAUCACCAACUCUAUACACACAAAGACGAAAAGGAAUCCUCCAAAAAGUGUUUAAACAACACCAAAAGCACUUGUUAAAUCUGUUGACAUAAAAGGAACGAGAAAAUGCUUAGAAUUUAAAUUCCUAAAAGUCUAAAAUAUAGCAGAAAAAUGAACCAACAAGCACCAAACGGUAAUUGCAUUCAAACUAAUGUUCUAUAACUAACAAGCACUAAAUUCAAAUUUAUGAACUUUUAAUUCCAAAUUUCCAAACCGUGCCUUAAAUUCAAACUGGAAAGAAAGGAAAAAAAAAGCACAAAGGAUUCGUUCGGUGUCUAGGAUUAAAUAUUUCACUAUAUUCAAUAUAUUUUGAAGGCAGAUACUGAAAAAUUGUGUCCAACCAAAAAGUAGAAGAAAGAUCCAAUCCCCCCAAAUGAUAGGACGAGGAGGGUCAAGUUCCCUUCAUGUCUAAUCUUCCACUUCUAAUCCCCUAAAAAUGAAAAAGCAUGCACCAUUACCUUCAAUAUACCUUGAAUUUUAUGACUUAUCCAUUCCAAUUCAAUCCUAGACACCAAACAAUCCCAAAAGGUCUUACAACUUGGAACAUAGAGCUAUGUUAAAGACUUUCAUAAACUAAACGAAUCAUGCACAUAACUGCUGCUAGAAAUACAGUAAAACAUGCACUUGAUUUCCUCAAGUUUCAGUAUACUAAAACAAAAGAGCCUCGUUCAUGUAUGGAUUGGCUUUGAAAACUUAGUCAUACAGAAAUACUCAUACUAUCCAAUACUGAUACAAACAUGCAAAAAGUAACUAAAAAUGCAAAAAGUAAGCUCCUAUGAAAGAUCUAAUGUAUCAAAUGAGUCAAGAGUCUGACAAAUCUGAAAUCCACUAGUCAUAACUGUCAUAUGUAGAAAAUUGGAAUAUAAGCAGAAUAACUACUUCCCCAAUAGCUUAUAGUCAACUUACUGCUUAGAAUUUGUGUCUCAUAACUUCCACAUUUAGGAAGUGGAAUAUGAGCAGAAUAACUACUUUCCCACUAGCUUAUAGUCAAAUUACCACGAAGAAUUUAUAAAAGCACUCCGACCCACCUUUACUUCCAACCCCAUCUCUUCUCCACUUUUUGUAACCUUCAAAAGCUGGAUACAUAAAAAGGGGAAAACUCCGGAACAACUUGAUCUUGUGAAAUAAAUAUAAGCCACAUAUUCUCAAAUCUAGAGAAUAGGGUCACUGUUAUACAUCCAUAAUCAUACAUGAUUGGGAUGGUGAUCAGAGUAACACAAAAAAAAAAAGAACGGAAGACUCACUCCUAGAGAGAGUAUGUUUAUUCCAAGGGUUAGACAACAUGAACCUAGAACACUGCAGAUGGUGAUUUUAGCCACUACACAUAAUAAAACCUAGUAUGUCGUGGCAUUGGUGCUUAUGCACCUCGUAAAUCUCUCACCUAUAACAAAUAUCAUAACGUCUAGGAUAUCAAACACUAUCCUAGAGAUGUCAUUAAGACACCUCCUACAACCAUCUGAUGACAUACGGGUGAUAUCACCCAUAUCACUAUAUGGUAUAUAUGAUACAUACCAAAAAACCAAUAAUUAUGAGUAUCAACCAUUGCAGCGGCAUUUAUGUGUGUUAUACACUAUGGUUUAGCAUUAUUAGAUAUGCAUCCACAAUUCACAUCUGUAUAUUUCCAAAGUUCUUCAGGUAUGCAUUAUAGACUUUAACUAGUUCAAAGAAGGUGAUUUAUAAGAUUGUUGAGGCUUGAUGGAAAUGAAUGGAGGUCUACCAGGACUGUUACAUGAAGAUAUCUUUUUAAUAGAGAGUAAGCGUUCAACUUUUAUGUCAUGUUAGAUCAACCACAAAUGGGAAAGUCAUACCCACAAAUUGGACCUAGUAAAUAAGAAGAUGCAUACCAAAGAUUAUAGAAAUUCCAGAUUUAGAGAGAGACAGCAUACAAAGUAAAAAGCUUGUAUUCAGAUUAAUGGGUUUUUCUAAGACAAUACAAAUCAGAAGAUUCGAAUCAAAAUUCGUAAAAAGUCCAAAUUUUGAUUUCUGGGUUUUCAAUCUCCACUCAAAAUUAAAAAAACCCCAGAGUUGAAUCUCUUCCUACCAACCCAAACAGAUUCCAAGAAAUCAACAUAAGGGUCUAAAUCAAUACUCUGUACACUAAAUCAAUAACAAAACCCAUGAACAAAACGCAAAACCCAUUAUCCAAAACAAACCAAAAAAUCUAAUUUGCAGAAACGAAAAGUAAUCGAAAUGAAAGAAGAGGUGGAAGGAAAUCGGAGCUUACCAGAGAGAGUGGUGGAGUUCAGUAAAGUUUUUGAGAAAAGAAAAUGAGGGAGAUAACCGGAGCUAGAAGGAAGGAGCACAGGCUGCACAGCAAUCUCAGUCUCAGAGAGCAAUGGCGUGUGAGGGCAGCAAGAGAGGUGAGGAACGUGAGGGCUGACGGCUGAGGNN